AGCAUAUCAAUAAGCGGAGGAAAAGAAACCAACAGGGAUUGCCCCCAGUAACGGCGAAGUGAAGCGGCAACAGCUCAAAUUUGAAAUCUGGCCUCGGCCCGAGUUGUAAUUUGCAGAGGAUGCUUCUGGCGCGGCGCCUUCCGAGUUCCCUGGAACGGGACGCCACAGAGGGUGAGAGCCCCGUAUGGUCGGACGCCAAGCCAGUGUGAAGCUCCUUCGAAGAGUCGAGUAGUUUGGGAAUGCUGCUCUAAGCGGGAGGUAUACGUCUUCUAAAGCUAAAUACCGGCCAGAGACCGAUAGCGCACAAGUAGAGUGAUCGAAAGAUGAAAAGCACCUUGAAAAGGGGGUUAAACAGUACGUGAAAUUGUUGAAAGGGAAGCGCCUGUGACCAGACUUGCGCCGGGCGGAUCAUCCAGCGUUCUCGCUGGUGCGCUCCGCCCGGCUCAGGCCAGCAUCGGUUCUGGCGGGGGGAUAAAGGCGGCGGGAACGUGGCUCCCCCGGGAGUGUUAUAGCCCGCCGUGCAAUGCCCCCGCCGGGACCGAGGUUCGCGCAUCUGCAAGGAUGCUGGCGUAAUGGUCACCAGCGACCCGUCUUGAAACACGGACCAAGGAGUCGUCCAUUACGGCGAGCGUUUGGGUGUAAAACCCCUGCGCGGAAUGAAAGUAAACGUAGGUGAGAGCUUCGGCGCAUCAUCGACCGAUCCUGAUGUACUCGGAUGGAUUUGAGUAAGAGUCGUACCGGACGGACCCGAAAGAUGGUGAACUAUGCCUGUAUAGGGUGAAGCCAGAGGAAACUCUGGUGGAGGCUCGCAGCGGUUUCUGACGUGCAAAUCGAUCGUCAAAUAUGGGCAUGGGGCGAAAGACUAAUCGAACCAUCUAGUAGCUGGUUACCGCCGA
rnacentral:rRNA from 1 species